rnacentral:lncRNA from 1 species
UUACACUCGUCAUAGCUACAUCAAAGUCACAUCAGUAUAAUACAUAAUCAUCAUGAAGAAGAGUAGGGUCCGACUAUGAACGAAAACAAAUGAGAAAAGAAGAACGACGUCCAUCCUUGCUAUCCCAGGCUGCCGGCCUGGAACCCAUCCUAGAUCGAUGAAGAAGAAGAAGAAGCAACUCCAAAUGAACAAUCAACGUGCUCGCGUCAGGUAACCUUUACCUGUACCUGCAACUG